UACGGAGGGUGCAAGCGUUAUCCGGAUUCACUGGGUUUAAAGGGUGCGUAGGUGGGUUGGUAAGUCAGUGGUGAAAUCCCCGAGCUUAACUUGGGAACUGCCAUUGAUACUAUCAAUCUUGAAUACCGUGGAGGUCAGCGGAAUAUGUCAUGUAGCGGUGAAAUGCUUAGAUAUGUCAUAGAACACCGAUUGCGAAGGCAGCUUGCUGGACCUGUAUUGACGCUGAGGCACGAAAGCGUGGGGAGCAAACAGG
rnacentral:rRNA from 1 species